rnacentral:piRNA from 1 species
UGGUAUCACGUGAUGAAUGAAUGAAGAG